rnacentral:piRNA from 2 species
CGUCAACACUUGCUGGUUUUCUCU